rnacentral:rRNA from 1 species
AACGAACGCUGGCGGCAUGCCUAACACAUGCAAGUCGAACGGGACCUUCGGGUCUAGUGGCGCACGGGUGCGUAACGCGUGGGAAUAUGCCCUUAUCUACGGAAUAAUCCUCCGAAACGGGUGCUAAUACCGGAUAAUCUCUUCGGGUCAAAGAUUUAUCGUGGUAGGAUUAGCCCGCGUUGGAUUAGGUAGUUGGUAGGGUAAUAGCCUACCAAGGCGACGAUCCAUAGCUGGUCUGAGAGGAUGAUCAGCCACACUGGGACUGAGACACGGCCCAGACUCCUACGGGAGGCAGCAGUGGGGAAUCUUAGACAAUGGGGGAAAGCCUGAUCCAGCCAUGCCGCGUGAGUGAUGAAGGCCUUAGGGUUGUAAAGCUCUUUUAGCCGGGAAGAUAAUGACGGUACCGGGAGAAGAAGCACCGGCUAACUCCGUG